rnacentral:rRNA from 1 species
CUCAAAGGAUAAAAGGUACUCCGGGGAUAACAGGCUGAUCUCCCCCAAGAGCUCACAUCGACGGGGGGGUUUGGCACCUCGAUGUCGGCUCGUCACAUCCUGGGGCUGGAGAAGGUCCCAAGGGUUGGGCUGUUCGCCCAUUAAAGUGGCACGCGAGCUGGGUUCAGAACGUCGCGAGACAGUUCGGUCUCUAUCUGCUGUGGGCGUUGGAAAUUUGAGAGGAGCUGACUUUAGUACGAGAGGACCGAGUUGGACAGCCCUCUAGUGUACCUGUUGUAUCGCCAGAUGCACCGCAGGGUAGCUACGGCUGGUUGGGAUAAGCACUGAAAGCAUAUAAGUGCGAAGCCCACCUCAAGAUGAGAUUUCCCUUAAGGGUCGUUCGAGAUUAGGACGUUGAUAGGCUUCAGGUGUAAAGGCAGUAAUGUCAUAGCCGAGAAGUACUAAUUACCCGUGGCUUUCUAA